GAGUCAGAGAGAGAACAUGCAGCUGAUGAGACAAGGCCUACAAGAGCUUUGUAAAGGGGUGAAGGAUUUGUCACUUCCCAACCCGAAUGAUGAGAAGAACAUCUCAUGGAAACAUCAUCCCCUGGAGUCUCCUUCUAUGUGUUUUAUUGCAGGAGGUGGAGCGACAUUGCUAUAGCUUGUGGCAAUGUGUUUGGAGAAGAAGAUUUGAGAAUCAGCUCAUUGAAGGUGUAAGAAGAAGAGACGCCGCUGGAUCAUCAUCAACUACCUUUCCCUGCCAAUGCAGGAGACAGUCCCCUGAUGGAGGAUGCAGCAGGCACUACACUUGACCACAGCCAAUGUGCCACAUAGAUCAUUGAUAAAGAUACUGAAUGGCAUUGGACCGUGGGACCCUGUGACGGGGUGUAUCUACCACACACUGGCCCAGCAGGGGUUAAUUGUGCACUGUGGGCUGAGAAGGCCACACUCCUCUGUCCCUGCUGGGCAUGCUCAACCUGGAGACAAGAUAUAAGAGAAAGUAGCUCCAUUCAGUUGGUCCAGACUGCCGAGAAGGAAGGAUUGCAGGUUCCCUCACAGGAGCUGCUGGAGCCCCAGACCACAGAGGCCAGACAUGCUGAGCCCCAGACAGAUCCGCAGCUGGCUGCGGAAGCCAGAGAUGGGAUUGAGCCUUCAGGAAUUUCGCUGGUCGACGGCCCCAGAGGACCCAUGGACUAUUACAUUGGAAGACAGGGUAGGAGGUAGCCCAGGGGAAAUCGACAUUGAUCUGGUUGUAGGAUCGGGAAAUAGGACAGUGUGUUUUGGCAGAUCCCUGCUGACCCAAUGGUGAAUGCAGUUGCCACUGUCAGGGCCCUGGGUAGACCCAGUGGAGUAGGGAGGGCCUAGGUCACCCUACCUCAGCCAUCACCUUCCUCGGGCAACUAGGCCCCGCAGCUCCACACAGGAGGGAAGCCAUAGUGAUUCUGGCUGCUAGGCCACAAGCCCCACACAGGGGGGUAACUAUAGGGACUCUGGCCACUUGGUCAUGCUGCCCUGAGAGCAAGGGCAGGCCCAAGGGACUCUGGCUGCUAGUCUGUACUACCCCACUUUAUAGGCUUUAGCCAGCUGAGGCAUAACCCCUCAUUGACUAUAUGCAACCUGACAUCCCAUGACAGGAUGUGUCUACCCCACGACAUACUCCACUACAAAUACCCCCAUUGGAUGAUGAUUCUCCAUUUACAAUUUACUUUUUGCAAU